UACAGAGGGUGCAAGCGUUAAUCGGAUUUACUGGGCGUAAAGCGCGCGUAGGUGGCCAAUUAAGUCAAAUGUGAAAUCCCCGAGCUUAACUUGGGAAUUGCAUUCGAUACUGGUUGGCUAGAGUAUGGGAGAGGAUGGUAGAAUUCCAGGUGUAGCGGUGAAAUGCGUAGAGAUCUGGAGGAAUACCGAUGGCGAAGGCAACCAUCUGGCCUAAUACUGACACUGAGGUGCGAAAGCAUGGGGAGCAAACAGG
rnacentral:rRNA from 1 species